UAUAUUAAGGUGUUUUAAGUUGCACAGCAAAGUUUGAGUUUGCAAGAGGCAGUUAAAUUCUGUCUAAUAUAG
rnacentral:tRNA from 1 species